rnacentral:lncRNA from 1 species
AUGCAUCGCGACUGGUUGUGAAGAGCCAGGGGAAGAACUUUACCGUGCAGGUGCCGCAGCCCAAUAGGAAGAGACGUGCUUGGUCAACUUAGUUUCUGCCCUCAAGCACUACACAAGCAAUGACAAUGUGGUAUUUGUGUAAAGAUGGACAAGUAGACGAAUGGAACAAACAGAGGUCCAUCAAUAAACUCAUGCAGGACACCCAGCUGAUCUUCAGCCAGAGAGCAAAGGCAUCUUAGCAGGGGAAAGGAAAGACCGAGCUGAACUUCAGCUAGAGAGCAGGGGAAAGGAAAGACUCAGACACACUGU